GGAUGUGAUCAUACCAGCACUAAAGCACCGGAUCCCAUCAGAACUUCGAAGUUAAGCGUGCUUGGGCGAGAGUAGUACUAGGAUGGGUGACCUCCUGGGAAGUCCUCGUGUUGCAUCCC
rnacentral:rRNA from 1 species